UAUGUACUCCCUCCGUCCGAAAAAUCUUGCCCCAAGCUUGUCCUUCAAAUGGAUGUAUCUAACACCAAAUUAGUGCUAGAUACAUCCAUUUGAGGGACUAGUUUUUUCGCAUGGAGGGGGUAGUUU
rfam:Triticum urartu cultivar G1812 contig951166, whole genome shotgun sequence.